rnacentral:rRNA from 1 species
GGCCCUUACGACCAGGGCUACACACGUGCUACAAUGGCGCAUACAAAGAGAAGCGACCUCGCGAGAGCAAGCGGACCUCAUAAAGUGCGUCGUAGUCCGGAUUGGAGUCUGCAACUCGACUCCAUGAAGUCGGAAUCGCUAGUAAUCGUGGAUCAGAAUGCCACGGUGAAUACGUUCCCGGGCCUUGUACACACCGCCCGUCACACCAUGGGAGUGGGUUGCAAAAGAAGUAGGUAGCUUAACCUUCGGGAGGGCGCUUACCACUUUGUGAUUCAUGACUGGGGUGAAGUCGUAACAAGGUAACCGUAGGGGAACCUGCGGUUGGAUCACCUCCUU